UACGUGGGGGGCAAGCGUUGUUCGGAAUUACUGGGCGUAAAGGGCUCGUAGGUGGCCAACUAAGUCAUACGUGAAAUCCCUCGGCUUAACCGGGGAACUGCGUCUGAUACUGGAUGGCUUGAGAUUGGGAGAGGGAUGCGGAAUUCCAGGUGUAGCGGUGAAAUGCGUAGAUAUCUGGAGGAACACCGGUGGCGAAGGCGGCAUCCUGGACCAACACUGACACUGAGGAGCGAAAGCCAGGGGAGCAAACGGG
rnacentral:rRNA from 1 species